CAGUCGCCACGGGAAUACGUAGGGUGCGAGCGUUAAUCGGAAUUACUGGGCGUAAAGGGUGCGUAGGCGGGUCUUUAAGUCAGGGGUGAAAUCCUGGAGCUCAACUCCAGAACUGCCUUUGAUACUGAAGAUCUUGAGUUCGGGAGAGGUGAGUGGAACUGCGAGUGUAGAGGUGAAAUUCGUAGAUAUUCGCAAGAACACCAGUGGCGAAGGCGGCUCACUGGCCCGAUACUGACGCUGAGGCACGAAAGCGUGGGGAGCAAACAGGAUUAGAGACCCCCGUAGUCCCUGUCUCUUAUAC
rnacentral:rRNA from 1 species